UAGCACCCUCCAGCCUGUGCCACCUGCUGGCACUUCAUGGGUGUUUCUGGCAACUGCAUGAGAUCGGCCGUGGUUCAGCAAAGGCUCCUCUUGCUAUCUGCCUCUGGUUAUGCUCAAGAAGGAACCUACGGCAUUACCCAUCCUGAGCUGAGAAGAGCGUCCCUGAAGGCAUUUCAUGGACUGUUUGAUACGGCUUAAUCUUCUAGAACCAGAGGCGCCAAAAGGCCCACCAACUUGCUUGGAAGCCUCUCCUCUACUCCAACAGCCAUCAUUUUUGCUCAGGAGCAUGGAAUCCCAUCUGAGGCUCCUACAGGAACACCACCAACCUCUACACGGCCUGCAGAGCCAGCCUGGCCUCAAGAGCAGGACACACCAGAAAACACCUGUUGAAUGGAUGCACCAGUGAACAGAGAUGGCCACCUCGCCAGAGCCACAAUCCAUGGGGACUGGAGACCAAAUGACGCUAAUGACUGCAGGGAAAUGAACAACUGAGAGGGGCUCCCUUUUAUCACUGGAGGGAAGCUGCUUGGUUCUAGUGAAUGGGAAGGAAUUGUAGGCAAAAACUCAGGGAGGAGACAGACAAGGAGAGCUUGGAAGGGGAACCUUACUAAUUAAGACAGAGAAAACAAAAUUUUGCUAAGCAUCAUUUCUGACUUACAACACAAAGUCAUUUUUCCUUUCUUCCUUGUCCCUCCUCCUUUG